AAGAAAGAAAGAAAGAAAGAAAGAAAGAAAGAAAGAAAGAAAGAAAAACAUGUUUAGGAAAACCAAGUUCCAGAAUACAGAGGAAAAAAAUAAAAGUUCACACGAAGGAGAAGUUCAUUUCUGAGAAGUUUUGAAAACUGAAAUGAUCAACCUGUCUGAAUGCGGUCAGGCAGUUCUUUCAUUUGGCUGUUUGAACAGGAGGAGGAGGAGAGGGGCGGCUAGAACCAAAGGGGACCAUGCAAACAAUGUUUUCUGCUCUGGUCCCUGGAUCUAAGCCCCUCAGGCUUACCAGACAAAAGUAACAGUCUCUAAGAUCUGAAGGUCUUUCUAGAUGGCAACAAAAAGCCAAUGUGAGGACCUGCCCGCAGUCUCUCAGGGAUCUGGGCAAGCAAGUAGGAGCUGGUGCCUUCCGGAAGCCAGAGAUGAUUUCUUCUUUACCACGGGCCACAGUGAAACGAUCUGCAUUGGCUGCAAACCGAAAAGUCACGGAGUUCCUGUUUAAAUGUCACACGCCAGCCCCCUAUCUAAGCCUUCUAUUUAAGAAUGGAUUUUGUGUAGUAUCAGUGCGAAAGACUCUAUGCUGGUGACCACAAGAAACAACCAAAUGAACGAAGGCUCUUCUCUUUGCGUGAAAAGACUGUGAAAAACAAACAAGCCCGAAGCUCAUGGCAACGUGGGAUUUGCCUCGGAAUAAGGAGACGCUAGAGAACGAAGUGCCCAGAUGCUUUAAAUGUAUGCAGAGCAGGGGAGGCUGUCUCCCCAGAGAAGUGAUGAAACCCCGGUAGGUUUGGCUGCUCUGGCUCUUGAUGGGGACAGGGAUUUGUUCUGCCGCAUGGAGCUAGUGAGCCAGCUGCUGGCAUCAGAACGGCAAGGUCAAGGCUCUCAUUACCAUUUGCAGCUGCUUAUUGUU